CAAUAGAAUUGAAUUCAAGACUCCUCCAACGAAUGAACUUCCACAAUGCCUUCCGAACUCCACUAUCAGUUUACCUUCUGCUGGAUUCCUCGUGAAACUGGACCUCUCCAGCGGACAGUCUUCAGACGAGCUUCUACAUCAGACAAAUUCCAGACGAACUUCUCUAGCAAUCGGACUCCUGCCGGACUUCUCCAAGAAGAAGUUCCUGUCUGAGCUUCUAUAGUAGAUGACUGCCGACU
rnacentral:lncRNA from 1 species